UUAAGCGACUAAGCGUACACGGUGGAUGCCCUGGCAGUCAGAGGCGAUGAAGGACGUGCUAAUCUGCGAUAAGCGUCGGUAAGGUGAUAUGAACCGUUAUAACCGGCGAUUUCCGAAUGGGGAAACCCAGUGUGUUUCGACACACUAUCAUUAACUGAAUCCAUAGGUUAAUGAGGCGAACCGGGGGAACUGAAACAUCUAAGUACCCCGAGGAAAAGAAAUCAACCGAGAUUCCCCCAGUAGCGGCGAGCGAACGGGGAGCAGCCCAGAGCCUGAAUCAGUAUGUGUGUUAGUGGAAGCGUCUGGAAAGGCGCGCGAUACAGGGUGACAGCCCCGUACACAAAAAUGCACAUGCUGUGAGCUCGAUGAGUAGGGCGGGACACGUGGUAUCCUGUCUGAAUAUGGGGGGACCAUCCUCCAAGGCUAAAUACUCCUGACUGACCGAUAGUGAACCAGUACCGUGAGGGAAAGGCGAAAAGAACCCCGGCGAGGGGAGUGAAAAAGAACCUGAAACCGUGUACGUACAAGCAGUGGGAGCACGCUUAGGCGUGUGACUGCGUACCUUUUGUAUAAUGGGUCAGCGACUUAUAUUCUGUAGCAAGGUUAACCGAAUAGGGGAGCCGAAGGGAAACCGAGUCUUAACUGGGCGUUAAGUUGCAGGGUAUAGACCCGAAACCCGGUGAUCUAGCCAUGGGCAGGUUGAAGGUUGGGUAACACUAACUGGAGGACCGAACCGACUAAUGUUGAAAAAUUAGCGGAUGACUUGUGGCUGGGGGUGAAAGGCCAAUCAAACCGGGAGAUAGCUGGUUCUCCCCGAAAGCUAUUUAGGUAGCGCCUCGUGAAUUCAUCUCCGGGGGUAGAGCACUGUUUCGGCAAGGGGGUCAUCCCGACUUACCAACCCGAUGCAAACUACGAAUACCGGAGAAUGUUAUCACGGGAGACACACGGCGGGUGCUAACGUCCGUCGUGAAGAGGGAAACAACCCAGACCGCCAGCUAAGGUCCCAAAGUCAUGGUUAAGUGGGAAACGAUGUGGGAAGGCCCAGACAGCCAGGAUGUUGGCUUAGAAGCAGCCAUCAUUUAAAGAAAGCGUAAUAGCUCACUGGUCGAGUCGGCCUGCGCGGAAGAUGUAACGGGGCUAAACCAUGCACCGAAGCUGCGGCAGCGACGCUGAUGCGUUGUUGGGUAGGGGAGCGUUCUGUAAGCCUGCGAAGGUGUGCUGUGAGGCAUGCUGGAGGUAUCAGAAGUGCGAAUGCUGACAUAAGUAACGAUAAAGCGGGUGAAAAGCCCGCUCGCCGGAAGACCAAGGGUUCCUGUCCAACGUUAAUCGGGGCAGGGUGAGUCGACCCCUAAGGCGAGGCCGAAAGGCGUAGUCGAUGGGAAACAGGUUAAUAUUCCUGUACUUGGUGUUACUGCGAAGGGGGGACGGAGAAGGCUAUGUUGGCCGGGCGACGGUUGUCCCGGUUUAAGCGUGUAGGCUGGUUUUCCAGGCAAAUCCGGAAAAUCAAGGCUGAGGCGUGAUGACGAGGCACUACGGUGCUGAAGCAACAAAUGCCCUGCUUCCAGGAAAAGCCUCUAAGCAUCAGGUAACAUCAAAUCGUACCCCAAACCGACACAGGUGGUCAGGUAGAGAAUACCAAGGCGCUUGAGAGAACUCGGGUGAAGGAACUAGGCAAAAUGGUGCCGUAACUUCGGGAGAAGGCACGCUGAUAUGUAGGUGAAGUCCCUCGCGGAUGGAGCUGAAAUCAGUCGAAGAUACCAGCUGGCUGCAACUGUUUAUUAAAAACACAGCACUGUGCAAACACGAAAGUGGACGUAUACGGUGUGACGCCUGCCCGGUGCCGGAAGGUUAAUUGAUGGGGUCAGCGCAAGCGAAGCUCUUGAUCGAAGCCCCGGUAAACGGCGGCCGUAACUAUAACGGUCCUAAGGUAGCGAAAUUCCUUGUCGGGUAAGUUCCGACCUGCACGAAUGGCGUAAUGAUGGCCAGGCUGUCUCCACCCGAGACUCAGUGAAAUUGAACUCGCUGUGAAGAUGCAGUGUACCCGCGGCAAGACGGAAAGACCCCGUGAACCUUUACUAUAGCUUGACACUGAACAUUGAGCCUUGAUGUGUAGGAUAGGUGGGAGGCUUUGAAGUGUGGACGCCAGUCUGCAUGGAGCCGACCUUGAAAUACCACCCUUUAAUGUUUGAUGUUCUAACGUGGACCCGUAAUCCGGGUUGCGGACAGUGUCUGGUGGGUAGUUUGACUGGGGCGGUCUCCUCCUAAAGAGUAACGGAGGAGCACGAAGGUUGGCUAAUCCUGGUCGGACAUCAGGAGGUUAGUGCAAUGGCAUAAGCCAGCUUGACUGCGAGCGUGACGGCGCGAGCAGGUGCGAAAGCAGGUCAUAGUGAUCCGGUGGUUCUGAAUGGAAGGGCCAUCGCUCAACGGAUAAAAGGUACUCCGGGGAUAACAGGCUGAUACCGCCCAAGAGUUCAUAUCGACGGCGGUGUUUGGCACCUCGAUGUCGGCUCAUCACAUCCUGGGGCUGAAGUAGGUCCCAAGGGUAUGGCUGUUCGCCAUUUAAAGUGGUACGCGAGCUGGGUUUAGAACGUCGUGAGACAGUUCGGUCCCUAUCUGCCGUGGGCGCUGGAGAACUGAGGGGGGCUGCUCCUAGUACGAGAGGACCGGAGUGGACGCAUCACUGGUGUUCGGGUUGUCAUGCCAAUGGCACUGCCCGGUAGCUAAAUGCGGAAGAGAUAAGUGCUGAAAGCAUCUAAGCACGAAACUUGCCCCGAGAUGAGUUCUCCCUGACUCCUUGAGAGUCCUGAAGGAACGUUGAAGACGACGACGUUGAUAGGCCGGGUGUGUAAGCGCAGCGAUGCGUUGAGCUAACCGGUACUAAUGAACCGUGAGGCUUAACCUU
rnacentral:rRNA from 1 species